rnacentral:rRNA from 1 species
AGUUUGAUCCUGGCUCAGAUUGAACGCUGGCGGAAUGCUUUACACAUGCAAGUCGAACGAUGAACCUUAGCUUGCUAGGGGGAUUAGUGGCGAACGGGUGAGUAAUAUAUCGGAACGUACCUUGUAAUGGGGGAUAACUAGUCGAAAGAUUAGCUAAUACCGCAUACGCCCUGAGGGGGAAAGUAGGGGAUCUUCGGACCUUACGUUAUAAGAGCGGCCGAUAUCAGAUUAGGUAGUUGGUAAGGUAACGGCUUACCAAGGCAACGAUGGGUAGGGGUCCUGAGAGGGAGAUCCCCCCACACUGGUACUGAGACACGGACCAGACUCCUACGGGAGGCAGCAGUGAGGAAUAUUGGACAAUGGGCGCAAGCCUGAUCCAGCCAUGCCGCGUGCAGGAAGAAGGUCCUAUGGAUUGUAAACUGCUUUUAUACAAGAAGAAACACUCCCUCGUGAGGGAACUUGACGGUACUGUAUGAAUAAGGACCGGCUAACUCCGUG